UCCCCGCCGUUCAACAUUUCAGCAGCUA
rnacentral:sRNA from 1 species